CAUAAAUUAGGUUUGCAGACUUUUCAAGGGAGUUUCAACCAAGUAAAUGUGCAGUUUAAAUAAAAACUGUCACUUUUCAUUUCAUCCUGCUCUUUUAAACAGAGUACUGGUGUACACACACACAAACACACACACACCUGGGCUC